rnacentral:rRNA from 1 species
ACUCAAAGGAAUAGACGGGGGCCCGCACAAGCAGCGGAGCGUGUGGUUUAAUUCGACGCAACGCGAAGAACCUUACCAGGACUUGACAUCGCUGGGAAUCGCUGGGAAACCAGUGCGUCCUUUCGGGGACUCAGUGACAGAUGCUGCAUGGCUGUCGUCAGCUCGUGCCGUGAGGUGUUGGGUUAAGUCCCGCAACGAGCGCAACCCUCGUCGCUAGUUGAAUGUUCUAGCGAGACUGCCGGGAUAAACUCGGAGGAAGGUGGGGAUGACGUCAAGUCAGCACGGCUCUUACGUUCUGGGCUACACACACGCUACAAUGGGUGGUACAAAGGGUUGCAAAAGAGUGAUCUGGAGCCAAUCCCAAAAAGCCAUCCUCAGUUCAGAUCGGAGGCUGCAACUCGCCUCCGUGAAGUCGGAGUUGCUAGUAACUGCCGGUCAGCACACGGCGGUGAAUACGUUCCCGGGCCUUGUACACACCGCCCGU